UACGUAGGGGGCAAGCGUUGUCCGGAUUUAUUGGGCGUAAAGAGCGUGUAGGCGGCCACACAGGUCAGCUGUGAAAACUCGAGGCUCAACCUCGAGACGUCGGUUGAAACCGUAUGGCUAGAGUCCGGAAGAGGAGAGUGGAAUUCCCGGUGUAGCGGUGAAAUGCGCAGAUAUCGGGAAGAACACCGGUGGCGAAGGCGGGUCUCUGGGCAAUUCCUGACGCUGAGGCGCGAAAGCGUGGGGAGCAAACGGG
rnacentral:rRNA from 1 species